UACGUAGGGUGCAAGCGUUAAUCGGAAUUACUGGGCGUAAAGCGUGCGCAGGCGGUUGUGCAAGUCCGCUGUGAAAUCCCCGGGCUUAACCUGGGAACUGCAUUUGUGACUGCAUGGCUGGAGUGCGGCAGAGGGGGAUGGAAUUCCGCGUGUAGCAGUGAAAUGCGUAGAUAUCAGGAAGAACACCCGUGGCGAAGGCGGCUCGCUGGGACGGUACUGACGCUGAGACGCGAAAGCGUGGGGAGCGAACAGG
rnacentral:rRNA from 1 species